UUCGCCCUUAGAGUUUGAUCCUGGCUCAGGAUGAACGCUGGCGGCGUGCCUAACACAUGCAAGUCGAACGGAGUUCUUAAGGAAUGCGACUUCGGUCAAAUGACUUUUGAACUUAGUGGCGGACGGGUGAGUAACGCGUGAGCAACCUGCCUUUCAGAGGGGGAUAACAUUUGGAAACAGAUGCUAAUACCGCAUAAGAUUACAGUACCGCAUGAUACAGUGAUCAAAGGAGCAAUCCGCUGAAAGAUGGGCUCGCGUCCGAUUAGAUAGUUGGUGAGGUAACGGCUCACCAAGUCGACGAUCGGUAGCCGGACUGAGAGGUUGAACGGCCACAUUGGGACUGAGACACGGCCCAGACUCCUACGGGAGGCAGCAGUGGGGAAUAUUGCACAAUGGGCGAAAGCCUGACGCAGCAACGCCGCGUGAGGGAAGACGGUUUUCGGAUUGUAAACCUCUGUUUUCGGUGACGAACAAAUGACGGUAACCGAGUAGGAAGCCACGGCUAACUACGUGCCAGCAGCCGCGGUAAUACGUAGGUGGCAAGCGUUAUCCGGAAUUACUGGGUGUAAAGGGAGCGCAGGCGGGAUAGCAAGUCAGUUGUGAAAACUAUGGGCUCAACCCAUAAACUGCAGUUGAAACUGUUAUUCUUGAGUGGAGUAGAGGCAAGCGGAAUUCCGAGUGUAGCGGUGAAAUGCGUAGAUAUUCGGAGGAACACCAGUGGCGAAGGCGGCUUGCUGGGCUCUAACUGACGCUGAGGCUCGAAAGUGUGGGUAGCAAACAGGAUUAGAUACCCUGGUAGUCCACACCGUAAACGAUGAUUACUAGGUGUUGGAGGAUUGACCCCUUCAGUGCCGCAGUUAACACAAUAAGUAAUCCACCUGGGGAGUACGACCGCAAGGUUGAAACUCAAAGGAAUUGACGGGGGCCCGCACAAGCAGUGGAGUAUGUGGUUUAAUUCGACGCAACGCGAAGAACCUUACCAGGUCUUGACAUCUGGGUGACGGGAGAGUAACGUCUCCGUUCCUACGGGACACCCAAGACAGGUGAUGCAUGGUUGUCGUCAGCUCGUGUCGUGAGAUGUUGGGUUAAGUCCCGCAACGAGCGCAACCCUUAUUUUUAGUAGCCAGCGGUUUGGCCGGGCACUCUAGAGAGACUGCCAGGGAUAACCUGGAGGAAGGUGGGGAUGACGUCAAAUCAUCAUGCCCCUUAUGAUCUGGGCUACACACGUGCUACAAUGGUGGUAACAAAGUGAAGCAAACCUGUGAGGGGGAGCAAAUCACAGAAAAGCCAUCUCAGUUCGGAUUGUAGUCUGCAACUCGACUACAUGAAGCUGGAAUCGCUAGUAAUCGCGAAUCAGCAUGUCGCGGUGAAUACGUUCCCGGGUCUUGCACUCACCGCCCGUCA
rnacentral:rRNA from 1 species